UCUUAAAAAUGCUGCAUCCUUUUGACGAAUGAUGGCACUGCACUUCAUGCGAAAACCACAAGCACAAGUUUUUUUUUGACUACGGUAAUGACAAGCACAAAAAGAUCUCCUUGUGAAUGUGGUUUCGUGAGGUGACAGUUAACAUUUUUGAAGUCAGUGGACGUUAGGUUCUCUACUGCACCGUUUGUUAGCAAGCAAGGCAAGGAGUAAACAUGUACAUAGAUACCAAUAAUGAAAGGUAAACUAGCUAUAUUUUAAAAAGCUGCCAAUUUGUAUAGUAUCAAACUAGCUAGCUAGCUAACUGUUGAUCCAGCUAAUGCUAGCUAGCUAACAACGUAACCAUUAAUGUUCGCUAGCUAACUAGCUUGCUAACUAGCCAGUUAGGUAACAGCUAGCUAGCUUGCUAGUCUGCCUUUGAGCAUACCUAAAGAGCAUUUCGCAAGCUAGACUAAAUAAGUUAGACUACAGUUAGCUAGCUUCUCCUGAAGUCUUCUGGUCCAUAUUAUAGGACCUGUGAGAAGUACAGAGGCUUGACAACAGAUGUAUUGAGGGACAGUUUAGCAGAGAACAAUCCUCAAAUUGCUGAUGCUUUUCACAGUGAGUUUGACUAACGUUAGACAGAACUGGAGUUGCUAGCGGCCAUACGUUUUCUAGCUAGCAAACGGCCAGGCUGUAACAGGAAAUGGAUGCCGGUGAUAUCCUACUGGUCUUUCCCAACAAUUUUGGGGUCUUGAAGGCUCUGCGGCGCCUCCUUGAUCAACUAAUUGAAGCAAAAACGUCUGCAAUUUCGAUUUCAAUUACUCCCAGCUUGCAUCUACAUAGUUUUUAUUUUAUAAAGAUUUAAUUUAAAUGUUUGUAUUGUAUACCAAUUUGCAGAGUAACAAAUCAGCAGAGAACUGCAUCAAGUCCAAGAAAGGAGAAAGGAAAUCUAAUUAUACAAUCAUCAACAGUAUUUAUUUGAUCAUUUCAAUCGAUGCAUCUAAUUUAGCAGAUAAUUUGCCUUUCAUAUUUUCUGUUUGUCUCCCGUCUCUUGUUUUAUGGCAAUUCUAAGAGAACAGGAAGGAGGGAGAGGAACGCCACAGAGCAUCACCAUGACACAGCCCCCACACCACUAGAGGGAUAUCUUCAACCACCAACCCACUACCCUGAGACAAGGCCGAGUAUAGCCCACGAAGAUCUCCCCCACGGCACCAACCCGGACAGGAAGAUCACGUCAGUGACUCAACCCACUCAAGUGACGCACCCCUCCUAGGGACGGCAUGGAAGAGCACCAGUAAGCCAGUGACUCAGCCCCCGUAAUAGGGUUAGAGGCAGAGAAUCCCAGUGUAGAGAGGGGAACCGGCCAGGCAGAGACAGCAAGGGCAGUUUGUUGCUCCAGUGCCUUUCCGUUCACCUUCACACCCCUGGGCCAGACUACACUCCAUCAUAGGACUUACUGAAGAGAUGAGUAAAGGCCGAGACCGAGUCUGCGUCUCUCACAUGGAUAGGCAGACCAUACCAUUAAAAUGGAGCUCUAUAUGAGAAAGCCCUGCCUCCAGCUGUUUGCUUAGAAAUUCUAGGGACAAUAAGGAGGCCUGUGUCUUGUGAUCGUAGCGUACGUGUAGGUAUGUACGGCAGGACCAAAUUGAAAAGAUAGAUAGAUAGGAGCAAGCCCAUGUAAUACUUUGUAGGUUAGCAGUAAAACCUUGAAAUCAGCCCUUGCCUAAACAGGAAGCCAGUGUAGAGAGGUUACCAAAUGUGUUGGUUCUAGUCAAGAUUCUAGCAGCCGUGUUUAGCACUAACUGAAGUUUAUUUAGUGCUUUAUCGGGAAGGCCGGAAAGUAGAGCAUUGCAGUAGUCUAAUCUAGAAGUGACAAAGCAUGGAUACAUUUUUCUGCAUAAUUUUUGGACAGAAAGUUUCAGAUUUUUGCAAUGUUUCGAAGAUGGAAAAAAGCUGUCCUUGAAACAGUCUUGAUAUGUUCGUCAAAAGAGAGAUCAGAGUCCAGAGUAACACAGAGGUCCUUCAGUUUUAUUUGAGAUGACUGUACAACCAUCAAGAUUAAUUGUCAGAUCCAAUAGGAGAUCUCCUCGUUUCUUGGGACCUAGAACUAGCAUCUCUGUUUUGUACGAGUGUAAAAGUAAAACAUUUGCUGCCAUCCACUUCCUUAUGUCUGAAACACAGGCUUCCAGGGAUGGCAAUUUUGGGGCUUCACCAUGUUUCAUCGAAUUGUACAGCUGUGUAUCGUCCGCAUAGCAGGGAAAGUUAACAGUAUGUUUCCGAAUGACAUCACCAAGAGGUCAAAUGUGUAGUGAAAACAAUAGUGGUCUUAAAACGGAACCUUGAGGAACACCAAAAUGUACUGUUGAUUUGUCAGAGGACAAACCAUCCACAGAGACAAACUGAUAUAUUUCUGAAAGAUAAGAUCUAAACCAGGCCAGAACUUGUCCGUGUAGACCAAUUUGGGUUUCUAAUCUCUCCAAAAGAAUGUGGUGAUCGAUGGUAUCAAAAGCAGCACUAAGGUCUAGGAGCACGAGGACAGAUGCAGAGCCUUGGUCUGACGCCAUUUAAAGGUCAUUUACCACCUUCACGAGUGCAGUGUCAGUGCUAUGAUGGGGUCUAAAACCAGACUGAAAUGUUUUGUUUACAUUGUCUUCAGGGAGGCAGUGAGUUGCUGUGCAACAUAUUUUUCUAAAAAUAAAUAUAUUUUAUCUCUU